rnacentral:rRNA from 1 species
UACGGGGGGGGUAAGCGUUGUUCGGAAUUACUGGGCGUAAAGGGCUCGUAGGCGGCCAACUAAGUCAGACGUGAAAUCCCUCAGCUUAACUGGGGAACUGCGUCUGAUACUGGUUGGCUUGAAUCCGGGAGAGGGACGUGGAAUUCCAGGUGUAGCGGUGAAAUGCGUAGAUAUCUGGAGGAACACCGGUGGCGAAGGCGACGUCCUGGACCGGCAUUGACGCUGAGGCGCGAAAGCCAGGGGAGCAAACGGG